UUGAGCCCUUUACCUGGGAGGUUAGUUAUUUUGUAACCUUAUUUUCUUUUGCUGAUAUAUUUUCCACAUUUUAUGGGAAAGCUUGCGAAGUUAACUUCUCGUUCCGUUAAUUUCUUAUACACAAACUUGCAACUGAAUAUUUCGACUUCUUUUUUACAAGGUUUUUUUUACUUAUUACUGUCACAUUUGGUCACUUGGGAUUUGAUUAUUUCUUUGCCAUAAGAGAAAGAGUGCAAUAAGACGACAAAAGAAAGUGAAGGAUAUGACCUAUCCCACCCAAAUGAGUUCUUGCCUGAGCUGAAAGAAGAACAACAGCUUGCUCUUCCACCUAACGAAGUGAACUGCAAAUCCAGACAAAACCUAUUGUACAAAUGGAAGUGUUUCUUUUGACCCAUCUCUUGAUAUAAGAAGACAUAAGAACGACACCACGCUGUCAAACUUAGGAUCUGUGAAGGAUAACGAAAGACAAGAUCUUAACUGUGCUGUGAAGGAAUACUUACUCUUGGCAGGGUAUCGUCUGACUGCAAUGACAUUCUAUGAAGAGGUUAUGGAUCAGGAAAAUAGAUACACCAUGUAACUUUGUUGCCUUGUUUCAUGGAAUGCAUAUGUAUGAUUGUGUGAUGCUAUCACUGCCUUACUUGGUAGCUUCAACUUGCCACUCAGUACUUCGGAUCUUGCCGCCGCCAAACUAAUAAGAUUUUGGGACUGAUCUCCACCGUCGUCGUCUCACUAAAGGCUACAGAUCGACUCAUCUCGACCGCGAAUCACAAAACUCUUCAGACUCGUAUCCACCGUGUCGUCUCACUAAAGGCUACGUGUACUUGACAAAUUA